CCUACGGGCGGCAGCAGUGGGGGAUAUUGCACAAUGGGGGAAACCCUGAUGCAGCGACACCGCGUGGGUGAAGAAGCGCUUCGGCGUGUAAAGCCCUAUCAGUGGGGAAGAAAAAGGACGGUACCCAAAGAAGAAGCACCGGCUAAAUACGUGCCAGCAGCCGCGGUAAUACGUAUGGUGCAAGCGUUAUCCGGAAUGACUGGGUGUAAAGGGAGCGUAGACGGUUGUACAAGUCUGAUGUGAAAGCCCACGGCUCAACUGUGGGAGUGCAUUGGAAACUGUAGAACUAGAGUAUCGGAGAGGCAAGUGGAAUUCCUAGUGUAGCGGUGAAAUGCGUAGAUAUUAGGAGGAACACCAGUGGCGAAGGCGGCUUGCUGGACGAAAACUGACGUUGAGGCUCGAAAGCGUGGGGAGCAAACAGGAUUAGAUACCCCGGUA
rnacentral:rRNA from 1 species